GAUACCCUGCUGUGUUUGUGAUGUAGCAAAUAAGUUUUGGGCCAACACCUUUAAAAAGGAUCCGAACUUUUUCAGGUAAAGUGAUAGACGUAAGUUAGUCAAGACUGAGCCGGAAGGUAGGAUCAUCCUGCUUAUUAGCAGGUUCAAAACCACCCUGCACACGGCAUAGCGGGGCUUGC
rnacentral:other from 1 species